AGCAGAGUGGCCUAGUGGAUAAAGCUUGGGCUUGGGAGCCAGAGGACUUGGAUCCUAAUCCCGACUCUGCCA
rnacentral:tRNA from 1 species